GCCUCUGUAGAUCAAUGGCAGAGCACACUGGUCUUGUAAACCAGGGGUCGUGAGUUCAAUCCUCACAGGCGGCA